rnacentral:rRNA from 1 species
UACGAGGGGGGCGAGCGUUUUUUGUUCGGAAUUAUUUGGGCGUAAAGGGUGCGUAGGCGGUUUUGGUAAGUCUGAUGUGAAAUCUAUGGGCUCAACUCAUAGUCUGCAUCGGAAACUGCCGGGCUUGAGUAUGGGAGAGGUGAGUGGAAUUCCUGGUGUAGCGGUGAAAUGCGUAGAUAUCAGGAGGAACACCUGUGGCGAAAGCGGCUCACUGGACCAUAACUGACGCUGAUGCACGAAAAGCUAGGGGGAGCAAAACAGGAUUAGAAA